CUAUAAAAGAUAACAUUCAAGGGGGAGCUGCUGCUGCUGUCUUUCUCUGAGCAGAGCAAUCUCUCAGGCUUCUGACAAUAAACCCACUUCUUAUCCCAGGCAAGGAGACCAAAGUCUGGAAGGAUGCAAUGGCUUCUGCUGUCAUUGAAGGUGUAUGAUCCCCCUUCUCUACCAGGCUUCAGUGCAAAAUCAUGGUAAUAUUUAUUGCCCUGUUCACCAUUCAGUAACCAAGACUGACAUAGUAGGUCAUGGAAAAUUUGGGGAGUGACUGAGUCAUGAUGGUGGAACACUCAGAUGGAAUUAAUGCCUUAUGGAAGAGGCCUAAGAGAGACCACAUCCUUCCCAUCCUGCAUCCUGUGGGGACACAGCAAGAUAGCACUGUCCAUAGAAGGUGGGCCCUCACCAGACACCAAAUCUGCCUUGAUCUUGAAUUCCCUAUCUCCAGAACUGUGAGAAGCAAAGCACUGUUGUUUUUAAGCUUUCCUGUUUGUGGUGUUUUAGAAUAGCAUCUUAAAUAGACUAAGACAGAAGUUAUAAGCAUUUCUUUUGUAUAUCAUAGAAAAUGGGAUCACUUAUCAUAAAUACUAUCUUAAUUAUAGUUUAUAGAAAUUAGUUUUUAAAUGUAAUUACUUAUAUUGAAUAGAUAUGUUGAAGAGAAAUUUUUAAAAAUUCCUUUGGCUUAUUGAUAGUAUAUUUUAUUUUAGGAAUACUUACUAAAAAGUGGUCAGAUAUAUUUAAAUGAUAAUUUAUAAAGUUAAAAUUAUUCAUACACACUUUAUGCUAUUUGAGGAAAGAAAGGGAUAUAGUAGAAUGAAAAUAAUCUUAGAAUUCUGAGACAUGUUCUCCAGUCCUAUCCCAAUUUUCAUUAACUUUGAAAAAUUAAGCAAAUUACAUUUGUUUCAGAAUUUCUUUGACUGUAAAUAAUAAAACCACAAUAGUCUUUAAAAUUUCAUGCAAAUAUAUAAUAAUGAAUUGCAAUUUGUUAGUUAUGUCAGAAGCUCUCUUAUACAUAUAUUAUAUAUAAAACAUACACUCACAAAAUUAAUUUCUCUGUCUCUUGAUUUUGCCUAUCACUAAUUUCUAGGAACUAAAAAGUCACACAAAUAAAUCUAAAGAUAUUUGUUCAAAAGUGAUAAUUAUCUUGAAUGUUUUUAAAAAUAGUUCAUCAAAAUACAUUUACAAUGUUAUUAUGUUUUAUUCUCAAUGAUCUAUUUUAUUG